rnacentral:rRNA from 1 species
CAGCCGCCACGGUAAUACGAGGGGGGCAAGCGUUGUUCGGAAUUAUUGGGCGUAAAGGGCGCGUAGGCGGUUUGGCAAGUUUCGUGUGAAAUCUUCGGGCUCAACUCGAAGUCUGCACGGAAAACUGCCGGGCUUGAGUAUGGGAGAGGUGAGUGGAAUUUCCGGUGUAGCGGUGAAAUGCGUAGAUAUCGGAAGGAACACCUGUGGCGAAAGCGGCUCACUGGACCAUUACUGACGCUGAGGCGCGAAAGCUAGGGGAGCAAACAGGAUUAGAGACCCCAGUAGUCCCUGUCUCUUAUAC